rnacentral:rRNA from 1 species
GACGAACGCUGGCGGCGUGCUUAACACAUGCAAGUCGAACGGAAAGGCCCUGCUUUUGUGGGGUGCUCGAGUGGCGAACGGGUGAGUAACACGUGAGUAACCUGCCCUUGACUUUGGGAUAACUUCAGGAAACUGGGGCUAAUACCGGAUAGGAGCUCCUGCUGCAUGGUGGGGGUUGGAAAGUUUCGGCGGUUGGGGAUGGACUCGCGGCGUAUCAGCUUGUUGGUGGGGUAGUGGCUUACCAAGGCUUUGACGGGUAGCCGGCCUGAGAGGGUGACCGGCCACAUUGGGACUGAGAUACGGACCAGACUCCUACGGGAGGCAGCAGUGGGGAAUAUUGCACAAUGGGCGGGAGCCUGAUGCAGCAACGCCGCGUGCGGGAUGACGGCCUUCGGGUUGUAAACCGCUUUCGCCUGUGACGAAGCGUGAGUGACGGUAAUGGGUAAAGAAGCACCGGCUAACUACGUG